UCCCUCAUAGCUAGGUUGGUAAAGAAUCUGCCUGCAGUGCAGGAGACCCAGGUUCAAUUUCUGGGUUGGGAA
rnacentral:tRNA from 1 species